ensembl:misc_RNA 7SK 7SK RNA
AGAUGUGGGGGGGGCGAUCUGGCUGUGACAUCCUUCACCCCAGUGAUCGCCAGUGUUGAUUUGGCUGAUCAGGCUGGCUAGGCGGGUGUCCCCUUCCUCUCUCACCCUCCAUGUGUGCCCCUCCCGCAGCUGCAAGCUCGGUUGAAGAGGACGGCCUUCCCCGAUAGAGACAAACCAGUCUUCAGCUGAGGGUAUAAGAGUAGCUGUGGACCUCCAAACAAGCUCUCAUGCCUGGCUCCAAAGUCCCAGGCUCAAUCCCCCCCACCACCAUAAACCAGAGGUGAGCAGCACUCUGAU